rnacentral:lncRNA from 1 species
GCCCAUUCACUACUGAUGCUAUGUGCACCCAGCAGGCACCGGCUUUGAGGGAACAGCGGAAAGUGGAUGUGGUGGUAAUAGAGAUUUUCAGCUGAGACCAGAUGCUGAACCGCAAACUUAAGGCUGCAUGCUCUAAGUUCUGCCGUGGCAAGUCACGCAAGCCCACAGCCGGUGACUCAGACCCCUGUCACCUAAGAGUAAAGCUGCUGCUGUGGCUCAGUGUGGCCAGAGGCCCUGGGGCCUCACUGGUCCUGGAGCUGGGAGGGAAGGUGGAAACUCCUUUGGCCUGGCUGGAGCCGACCACAGGCGUUCCCUUCCCCCCAAGCACUUGCCUGGGGCUCAAAGCUGGGAGGAGGUGAUGGCUUCUCGGGAAUGGAGGCUUGAGUCACAGCCCUGAAGAGGCCACUGCAGCUUUGCAGGAAAAGACUUCUCUGCAAGGACACCAGCUCAGCACCCUGCUGCUCAGCCUGAGUGGCAUCACCCUUGCUCACUUUCAUGAUAACUGUUUAAAAAUAGUUUAUAUUGUCCUCAUUCUAGCUCAAGAGCUCAGGGACUCUGACAAGAUGAAGAGUGGAGAUGGGUUGGGCUUGGUGGUACAUACCUUUAAUUCCAGCACUGGGAGGCCGGUGUAUCUCUGAGUUCAAGACCAGCCUGGUCUACACAGUGACUUCCAGGUCAGCCAGAACCACAUGGAGACUCAGUCUCAAACAAACACACAACUUUCCACUAGGCCAGUGAGAAAGUUAAGUGGCGGAGGCACUUGCUGUCAGGCCUAAGGCCUUGAAUUCAACCCUCAGGACUCAAUGGCAGGAAAGAAUCAGGUGAAUCAGUUCAGGCUUCAUCAAGAGCUGGGGCUCUGAGCUGAGGCCAGUUACAGCCGGUUGUCCCGAGGCACCUGCCAGCUCCCUCCCACUGGAGCGCUGGAGUGAAGGCUGUGGUUCCUUCUUAAAAAGAGAAGACUCAAGAAAGAAAAAAAGCAAAGCCAACAGGCACCCGUCUGAGUCCUGACAGCGGCGCCAUGGAUCUAGUCCUCUGGGCUGUGGACGGAGUGGAGUGACCAGCUGUCCAGGAAAUGGAUGCUGGAGUGUUACGUUUAAUUAAAAGGAAACAUUCAGCUGUGGUGUUUUACAAUGUAAAGCAAAUAAUUCCUCUGGGUUCGUCUAGUUUGUGCAAAUAUUUCUCCAAAGGGACUGUGCUGGAACCCCGUGUGCCAACCUGGUCCACAGCCAAACCUUACCCAGUACCUUCCUUAUUAAACCACCAGCCGCCGGGCAGCUCCAAGCUGUGCUGGGCGGCUCCUCCCCGGAGCUUUCCACCCCCAGCCCCUGCC